GAUGAACGCUGGCGGCGUGCCUAAUACAUGCCAGUCGAGCGAACGGACGAGAAGCUUGCUUCUCUGAUGUUAGCGGCGGACGGGUGAGUAACACGUGGAUAACCUACCUAUAAGACUGGGAUAACUUCGGGAAACCGGAGCUAAUCCCGGAUAAUAUUUUGAACCGCAUGGUUCAAAAGUGAAAGACGGUCUUGCUGUCACUUAUCGCUGGAUCCGCGCUGCAUUAGCUAGUUGGUAAGGUAACGGCCUACCAAGGCAACGAUGCAUAGCCGACCUGAGGGGGUGAUAGGCCACACUGGAACGGAGACACGGUCCAGACUCCUACGGGAGGCAGCAGUAGGGAAUCUUCGGCAAUGGGCGAAAGCCUGACGGAGCAACGCCGCGUGAGUGAUGAAGGUCUUCGGAUCGUAAAACUCUGUUAUGAGGGAAGAACAUAUGUGGAAUUAACUGUGCACAUCUUGACGGUACCUAAUCAGAAAGCCACGGCUAACUACGUG
rnacentral:rRNA from 1 species